UCAUUACUCCUUUCAUGUCAAAAUUCUUGUCUUAGAUUUGUCUAGAAAUUGAUGUAUCUAAAUACUAAAAUGUGACUGGAUACAUUUAUAUCUAAACAAAUCUAAGACAAGAAUUAUGGGAUAGAGGAAGUAUUUU
rnacentral:pre_miRNA from 1 species